GUCUCUCUCUCGCAUCUCUCUCGCGUUGAAGCCGCCGCCCCCUCCCCUUCUCUCGCGUUGAAGCCACUGCCCUACCCCGUCUCGUCGCGCCGCCGCCCCCUCCCCCUUCUCCUCGCGUCGCUGCCCCCUCCCCCUCGCGCCGCCGCCCUCAGAGAAGCACCGCGGCGGCUGCUGCUCCUUGUCGCCGCUCCUCACCCACCCACCGCGGCCGCCUCCUCCCUCGGAACCCUAGCCAACCGCACGCAACCCAUGGCGUCGCCCAGCUCGCCGCCCCUUCAAACUCUAGACCCGCCCGUGCCUCCCUGCCCCGCCGCCGUGCAGUUCCAGCCCCUGCCCCGUCGAGCGGCUCAUGGCGGUGUCGGAUCCGGUGUCGGGGUCGAGGCGCGCUGCCCGUGCGUGUGGAGAGGCACCCGGACCUGGUCCAAGACUCGCACCACGGCAUGCUCGCCGCCGUCCUCGUCAGGGUCGCCGGCAAGGCGCCAUGGUGGCUGCUCGUUCCCCUGCUGCCUCUCGCAUGUUGACGCCGCCCCAAUCCGAGCUCGAGCUAUAGAGGCGUGCCGCUAGGUCCCCUCUUUCUUCCAGUCUUUCCGCCGGAUCUACUGAUGCACUCGUCGAUCUCUAGAUUGGUCCUCUGUGGCUCAAUCCCCUGGUCGAUGCCUCCUUCGAUCUAUGGGUGCUCAUCUCUGGUUACUGAUCUGCAGGUCAACCCUUCUUCUCCCCCUCCUUUAUGCUCCCCUUCUUUUCCAGAGCUAGGUACACGGUUGUAUGGUGAUAUGCUGGUUGUGCAUAGGCUGGAGAAUAAGAUCCUUCUAUUUCUUGUCUUGUUUCUGAUACAACCAAAAGUAUCAUUCACUUUGUGCACUGGCUUUUUUUGUGGUUGCCUUGCCUUUUGUCCCUUCCUGGUAGGGCGACACUUGUUCUUUUGUGCAUGGAAUGUUGAUGUUUUUGUUCUUUUGUGUAUGGAUAAGAGUAUUUGGGGCUUGGCUUAAUUAGGAAGGAAAUUCUAUGUGGAUAAAUUGUUACUUGGCCAGUUCUGUUGUUGGCCUCAUGUUAGAUAAAUUUCAGGUUUCGUGCUCGCUUUAUGAGCUUGGGAGAUGGUCACCUGUUCGUUUUUUUUUUUACUUUCUGCACUGCUCGAUAAAUCAAUGACUUUUGAUUCAAUAUCUGGCCUAGGUAGCUGUUCAUCUUGCAUCCAUCUGUGUGUAGCUGAAGAAUGUUGGUUCCGUCCAUCUUGAGGUCGUACUUCCCAUUUUCAGGGUCGUACUUCCCAUUACAGGCCGACGAUACGGCAGAUUCGGUUAGUGGGAAGAUCGUCCAAAAGAACAUCUGACGAGCUGACGCAAAGAGGUCUGAACCAUCUGUUCCUGUUAUUGCCCCAGUGAGUGUGGGCAAGAAAGGCGGGAAGAAGUAAUCCCUUCUGUUAGGACAAAACUCAGUAUUCUGGUGACAUAAAACUUUUGCAGACGGUUAAUGUAGAUAGACGGUCUUUUAUCAAAAUGCCUGUACUAGCGAUUCCCCUGCUUGCGCUCGGGCUCCUAGGCACUUACCGCCAAAUCACUUGGUUGCUUCUGGGCGACGAUGGUUGCUAUCAAGACCAUCUCGCUUUCCAUCCGGACUAUCGGGCUAUGUAGAUAGAGACUGGCAUUUAGUCAGAGGUGCGCACCUUAUAAGUGCAUGUCCUUGACUUGGCGGAAGGAGGUGAAACAAGUUCAUCCAAUGAUGUGUAACAUCCUUUGGAGUGCUUUGGGCCCUCGCGUUUCAGUUUCACAGAGAUUUCCGUGUGCAGAGGGUCACGAAGACUUUGUUGCCUUGCCUAUUUUGCAUGUACUUGUGUAGACAAGCUGAACCUGCUGAUGACUUUAUUGCCUUGCCUAUUUAGCAUGUACUUGGUGGAUAUCGAUGACUUUUAUCAAUUUGUGGCUCGGCGGUACCAUUGUAUCAAAUCAUGGAGUGCUUUGGGCCCUCGCAUGAUGUGCAACAUCCUUUGGAGUGCUUUGGGCCCUUGCAUGUACUUGCAAAUAGAUUUGACUUUAUUGCCUCGCCUUGAUACAAUGGUACUAUAGAUUUGACUCAGGCAAUAAAUUUGUGGGAUUCGGAAACAGUGUGCAUUACAAUUGUAUCAAAUCUAUUGGCAUUUGUCAUUAUGCUUAUUGAUAUAUCUCCUUCCUCCUUGAACUAUUAUUGCAGCUGCUCGUGGCCAGGGGCGUAAUGUACGUGGAGGUGUUCAAUAGAGGGGUCAUUAUGCCGCCCUACAGCAUCAGGAAGAGGAACAGCAGGACCGGGCUGCCCUUCACCUAUUACGACGGCAUCUACCUGAACUCAGUUAACCUGAACUCCAUAACUGAAGCUAUGUUUAUUCUGUGCCUUUGAAGAUGUACAUCAGUGCGCAGGCGGACUGGUCUUCCUGUUCGUACUCCUAGAUUGCAUAUCUGAACUUGGCCAAGAAUGGACCCCAUGCUUCUCUUGCCUCAGAAGCAUGUUCAUAUGAAGCAAAUAAAAGCAUGCAGUGCUUUACAAUUUGAGCCGUCGCCCCUCCGGCCUGCCCGCCGGCGGCACACUGCUCUUCCGGCCGCCCCUGAGCCCACGCGGCUUGCCGGAUCAUGCGCCGCCCCUGAGCUGCGCGCAGCUCUCCGGACCAAUUCGUGCCACCCACGCCAACCUGAGAUCCGCCUCUGUAGGACGUGAUGGCCAGAUCGCCGCGAGCCCCUACCCUGACCCCAAGGUCGUCGGCAGCGUCAAUCCCGGCGGCCAGGUCAUCGUCACCCCAACCUCGACGCCCAGGUCAGCAGAAGGUACAGUGGAUUGCUGGUACAUUUGUUGUCUGAAGGCCCAAAGUUUUUAAAUCUAACUGAAACCAAAGCCUUGUGAUUUAUCCAACUGAAGAUCCAAAGCUUGUAGUUAAAAUGAUAGCUAGGUGGUACAAUGACCGACAUCGUGUGUACCUCAUUCAUGUGGAUACUAAAAUGUGCUCUCAUCCGCUAUUUUGCUAGGACUUCUUUGUUCUCUUUCUUAAUGCAGCCGUUGAUAAGAUAAUUUCUGUAAUGUUGUAAGACCAUAGAGAACAUAUGUUUCAUAGUUAAUAGAAUUGAGAACAUCGUACAUUGUACACCCUGUGACGUUAACAAAGAUGUUCUCAAUUCUCCUUAAUUUGGUCUGCCUAAGCCACAGAAAAUGUGUCCACUGCCUAAUUGGGUGUUUAGUAAUUCAUUUUUAGAGAGUGUGGAUUUUGUUUCAUAACGGUUAGUAAAACCAGUAGCAUCGUGGAUCAUUUUGGUACUGCUAAAAUUUGGUCUUCCAUAAGAGAAUGGUUUGUGAACAACAUUUUAUUUUGAUGGAUCUAUGGAAUUGAUUUUAACAACAUUGUGGACAUGAACUGUUGUAUGAAAGGCUUAGUAUUGGUUGCCUAUUCUGACCAGCAAAAAGAUUGUACAAUGUACUAAUAAAGGGAAAACAUCCGAUCAACAAUCAAAAGUGACUCGUGACAAAGUUUUGGAUUUGCAGCUGUCUCCUACUAUGCAGAUCUAUUUGAAACAUUACAAACCCCAACAUUGGUCUUUCCAUUAACUGUUUCAGUAACACCCAGACUUGGUACUGGUCAUUACAUGAAACAAAGAAGUGUUGAUCGUAUUGUAUAUUGCAGAAGGUAGAUGAAGUAAGUGAUGUGGCCUAUUUUCUCACUACUUAUUUGCUAUUGACUUAACCAUCAUCCUAUGCCUUCAUGUUUGUUAGGGUUCAUAUUUUAUUGCAUUAACUAAAGCAUGAUGUUUUGUUAUUUUACUCCCUCUGUUCAUUUUUAUAUGGUGUGGAUGGAAGAGUGAGAAUAACUACAGGUUGGUCAAAGAUUGAAAGAAAUCGCUUAUGUGUCUUUGGCUUCGACACUGCGCAUAGGAAGUCGUCGCUGAUAAUCCAAACUUUGAAAAGGUUCAUGUGUUGUGGCGUAUGAAAGGUUGGAAGUCAAGACGAUCAGGUAGAUCUAUCCAAAAAAUAUGCUUCUGUGAAAGUAGAUAGUUUUUUUGUUCUUGCGUUGUCACUGUGGCUUGAUUUUGCUGCAUGAAAAGUACGUUGUCUGUAUCAAACUUGAUUGAUGUGGAUUGAUCGACCGAUCUCUCGCUUUUGUAAAGUAUAUAUUUCCAUUCCCUA